rnacentral:lncRNA from 1 species
AGCACCGGCUACAUAGUCCCUAGCAGACUGAGAAAUGAGAAAAAUACCAAACCAUGGGACCUUGCGGAUGACGAAGGUGGCGUAUCCCCUGGGACUGUGCGUGGGCCUGUUCAUCUAUGUUGCCUAUAUCAAGUGGCACCGGGCCUCCGCCGCCCAGGCCUUCUUCACCAUUGCUGGGGCUGCCUCAGGAGUGCGGUGGACCCAACAGGCCUUCAGCUCUCCAGACUCAGCCACACGUGGUCACGAGGUCUUCUAUGGGAUCAUGUUUGAUGCCGGGAGUACCGGCACCCGCAUCCACGUCUUCCAGUUUGCCCGGCCACCUGGAGAAACUCCCACCUUGACCCACGAAACCUUCAAAGCUCUGAAGCCUGGGCUUUCUGCGUAUGCCGAUGAUGUUGAAAAGAGCGCCCAAGGGAUCCAGGAGCUUCUGAAUGUCGCCAAGCAACACAUUCCAUACGACUUCUGGAAGGCCACCCCUCUGGUUCUCAAGGCCAC